UGCGUAGGUGGUUUGGUAAGUUAUCUGUGAAAUCCCUGGGCUCAACCUGGGCAGGUCAGAUAAAACUGCUGGACUCGAGUAUGGGAGAGGGUAGUGGAAUUUCCGGUGUAGCGGUGAAAUGCGUAGAGAUCGGAAGGAACACCAGUGGCGAAGGCGGCUACCUGGCCUAAUACUGACACUGAGGCACGAAAGCGUGGGGAAGCAAACA
rnacentral:rRNA from 1 species